rnacentral:piRNA from 1 species
UCACUCUCACUUAAGUGGAACCAGCCAAUG